AUCCACCAAGACGUCCUUGUUGUAACAUGACGAUGCUGGAGGUUGUCUUUCCAGGAAGCGGCGGAACGACAGGAAGCAGCUCGCAGCGCUGACCUUUGAGCGGAGAGACUCGGGGGAUUCCAGCAUGUGGAGCAGCUCAGAGUUGUCGAUUUCCAGCAGCAUGCCGGUGAUCUUCCCUGCCAGGUGUUGAUACAUGUUCUGUAUGAGUGGGAAUAAACACUCACCUGUCACAGGCGCAGCAGCCAGCACGGUUGCAGUCAAAGGCUUCUGCACCUGAGCGUGGACGGCGGGCUGAGAGAGAGACAAGAUAGUCAGAAAACCCACACAAGGAGGCGGCCAAUGUGCUCCUUUUAACACCUGCUGCGCCGACGUCGCCCCUUGCGGUUGAACAUGUUGCACGUGAUCCUGAGGGCUGCGGGCGGCUGCGGGGUACUUGUACUGAGGGAUGCCAUACAAGGGGGUGACUGGUGUGGUGGGCCGCGGGCUGAGAGUCUGAGUUCCUGCCAGGACACGAAAUGCAUUCAGGCUCAGGUUGUGCGCACUGUGAUCAACGAUGAAUGCUGGACUGACCUACACGCUGGCUGGCCAUGAUACGAGGCACCUGGGAGGCAGGGCGUAGGCUGUUAAAGGCCGGGGGGCUUGGUGCGGAGGGGCGCAUGGCACCAGGGUGGUUCUGGUAGUCUGCGCAAGCACACAAUCAGCAAUUCAUCAUAUUAGCUGUUGUUUU